ensembl:snoRNA
AAGGGCCCUUCUCAGGGCUGCAGUGGCCUCCACACAGCUGCUGUGGUCAACACGGAGCCCAGAGCGACAGUUCUUGCCAGUAGCCCUUCUGUUUGCUGUAACUGAUCUACGACGUUUGGGAAAAUACAGUU